rnacentral:rRNA from 1 species
UACGUAGGUGGCGAGCGUUGUCCGGAUUUACUGGGCGUAAAGAGCGCGCAGGCGGUCGUACAAGUCGCGUGUGAAAGCCCCCGGCUCAACUGGGGAGGGUCACGCGAUACUGUUCGACUCGAAGGCAGGAGAGGGAUGCGGAAUUCCCGGUGUAGUGGUGAAAUGCGUAGAUAUUGGGAGGAACACCAGUGGCGAAGGCGGCUCACUGGACCGGUACUGACGCUGAGGCGCGAAAGCGUGGGGAGCAAACGGG